AAAGCACUUACCCCUUGCUUUUUGGAUGGUAAUAUAGUUUAGUGCUUUUUAGAAUCAAUUUGAUUAUGUUGACGGUGAAAAACAAAUCUCUACUGGAAAGAUUGUUUGGCAAAGGAAAAUCAGAUGUCAGACACUUACCUAUUCAACAAGCAAGAAACAUGACUUCUUCAGCUAAACUCACAUAUGUUGGGAGGGGGAAGUCAAGUUAAAUAUUGGUCUAUAUGCCUUGCAGCAAUCAUCUACAAAGGAUGUGAAGUUGUACGAGCUGGAGAUUCCUUGUUCA
rnacentral:misc_RNA from 1 species